CGGUCAGAUCACGUUGAAACAUUGGUUCUCAUACAAUCACCAAAGUUAAGCAAUGUCAAGCCUGGUCAGUACCUAGAUGGGUGACUGGUUGGGAAUACCAGGUGCUGUAAG